AACCACAUUAUGCUAAUUACAUUUGGUUUGGUUAAUUAAGGUGAUUAAGUGUGGAUUAAGUUGAAGUAUAUAUUCAUAAUCAUCAUCUAAUCAUAACAGAAUUCACAAUUUCCAAGAACCAGAUCUGAAACUUCCACAUUCUCUCAAAACCCUCAAGAACACCAACACCUUCAAUUCCAAAAUUCAUCAUCAAUUCUCAACCAUUUUUCGUGAUUCUUUUUGAUUUGGACUCCUUGCAUCAUCCUCUAGAACUGUUUGUGGUAUUUGGAGCAUGAAAG
rnacentral:lncRNA from 1 species